GGGCUCAGUGGCAAAGCAUUUGCUUUACAUGCAGAAGGUCUUGUGUUCAAACCUUGGCAUCUCCA